CGGCGGGCUCGGGGGGUCCCCCCGUCGUGUACCAGCCCAGGAACUCCAGGUCCUUGAACACCUGCUUGACUUGGGGGGAAAAAACCAAAAUUGGGGACACCAAAAUUGCCCAAAAUUACCCAAAAUUGGGAACCCCAAACCCCAGGAACUCCAGGUCCUUGAACACCUGCUUGACUUGGGGGGGAAAAACCAAAAUUGGGGACACCAAAAUUACCCAAAAUUACCCAAAACCCAGGAACUCCAGGUCCUUGAACACCUGCUUGACUUUUGGGGGGAAAAAAACCAAAAUUGGGGACCCCAAAAUUACCCAAAAUUACCCAAAAUCCAGGAACUCCAGGUCCUUGAACACCUGCUUGACUUUGGGGGAAAAAACCGAAAUUGGGAACCCCAAAAUUAUCCAAAAUCCCCAAAAUUGGGAACCCCAAAACCCAGGAACUCCAGGUCCUUGAACACCUGCUUGACUUUUGGGGGGAAAACAGAAAUUGGGAACCCCAAAAUUACCCAAAAUUACCCAAAAUCCCCAAAACUGGGAACCCCAAAACCCAGGAACUCCAGGUCCUUGAACACCUGCUUGACUUGGGGGGAAAACAGAAAUUGGGGACACCAAAAUUACCCAAAAUCCCCAAAAUUGGGAACCCCAAAACCCAGGAACUCCAGGUCCUUGAACACCUGCUUGACUUGGGGGGAAAAACCAAAAUUGGGAACCCCAAAAUUACCCAAAAUCCUCCUCAAAAUCCAGCCCAGGAACCCCAAAAUCCCCAAAAUUGGGAACCCCAAACCCCAGGAACUCCAGGUCCUUGAACACCUGCUUGACUUUGGGGGGGAAAAACCAAAAUUGGGAACCCCAAAAUUACCCAAAA
rnacentral:lncRNA from 1 species